AAGUGUUUUCGAAACAGGAACACCUUGUGCAUGUCUGAUGCUCAUAAGCUAGACUAAUUCAAAUUAUCGCGCCGCAAGGAGGUCGCCAAACUUAGCACUGCGUUUUCGGGUCAGUUUGAUACCAUUGACUACUACAACAGUUUGUUGUGGUUGCAUUCGAUUUCGAUGGCCUAAUAAACAUACGUAUGAUUUUACGGAACUGAGAUGAAAAAGUUUUAGCACCGAUACGAAUCUUGAUCGAUUGUUGAGUGCACCUCUUGAAUUUUUCGUCAAUUAGGCGACACAUACCGAUUAAAAACUGGAUUAUUAUGCUGGGCUUUGAGCAUCUUUGAACGCCCUGUUUUGACUGGAAAAACGCACAAAAUAUAAGUGAGAUCCCUACAAACUGUUAGGUUAGGUUCGUUUAACGACCCUGACUUGUUAAAUAUUUUCUGAGUGAAGUUACCACGCGACGGUUAGACAUUCGAAAAUAAUUGUAGCAUGGCAAGAUUCCGACGCUAGAUAUCUGCCAAGGAGACCGGAAGAUGUUCUUUUUGGCUCUGACAAGCGCCGCUAUGUCAGGUGUCGUAAGCCAGCCCACGAGCGGUGAGCUAUUAUCGUCACGAGCAGUGCUGACUCAUGUUGUCUCUGGGCUUUCUCUUCUUUUUUCGCUGCCAAGCCCACGUCCGUAUUACGAACCCGCAUCUUUCUUGCUGGUCGUCGUGGCAUGGCCUUCUGUCAUCUGGCUAUUUUUUCUCUCUUGUCCGCUGUCUUCUCUAUCUGCCAUCUGUGACAUCGAAGUAGACUGGUUUCUCUGGCUACCCCCAAGGCCAAUUUCCGGAAGCGACAGUUAGCAUAGCUGUGAGGAAGACGUUUACGCUAGGACUGAGCGGGACGCAUGACAAUGAUAGACGACGAAGAGGACAACGACAAACGAAGACGGCGAGAGACAUGGGCAGCGAAAAGAAGCUACGUGUGGAGUACUACCAACCUAAACUCAAAGGAGAAUUGGAGCCACCUAUCUUUUCUGGUCAGAGAGGCCAGAAAAGACGCGGUGCAAGCCUUUAUGGGACAUCUCCUCUGAUACGAGUUGAGGACGCUAUGAUGGCGACAGGUGGCGGCAAACUUCACGCAAGCGAACUGGCACGUAACACAGGCGAGAUACACAUGUUCGCCCCAGUCCAACUAGGCAGACAACGUAGCUAUUUACCCAUACUGCCAGGGUGGAAAGAACGGAGAGGCAACGACAGCCGGCCGCAAUAGUAGACAACAGAAAAACCCACGACGAACGAGCGGUGGCAGAGUACGUUGCGUUGAGUGCUCAUUGUUGUGGCCAUCGCAAGAAAGAAAAACGAACGCUAGCAGCCGACGAGAUGGAAGCUGACCAUCAAGUUCCGCCCGCCCCUCAAUCAAGAUAAAGAUA